UCUAACUAUCCCAAAUGCAUUGAUGCAGAACCUGGUCCCCUGUAUCCUGGUGAAUUUCGAUAAACAACAAAUCGUAGUUUGGAGGGAAAGGAUUAUAAGCACUUGAAAGAGCACAAAGAAGGGCAGAAACAUAGUAGCUAGCAGAAACAGAGAACCAAGUAUUGGCUCAACUCAAAUAAUAAGUAGAGAUAAUUAAAAUGAGAGGUAUGUCCAAUGCCAACAUGCUUGAAAGUGUAUCUCCAGUGCCAACAUGCUUGCCCGAUAACUAUUACCAAGCAACACAAUUGGUUUCAAAGUUAGGGUUGAAGGAUGUAUGCUAUAUUACAAGGAUGAUAACAAGUUAUUUGAGUGCAAAGUUUGUCAUAGUUAUGCUUACUUUUUGUAGUAAUUGGUUGACAAUUAUGUAUUAGAUAACUUUAUUAAAGUUGUUAUUCGAUACUAUUUGUUAUUUUGUAGUUUCAGAACACAAUAUUUUGUUGUGUUAUUUAA